rnacentral:rRNA from 1 species
GGUGAGUAACACGUGGGUAACCUGCCCUGUACUCUGGGAUAAGCCUUGGAAACGAGGUCUAAUACCGGAUAUGACACUGAACUGCAUGGUUUGGUGUGGAAAGUUCCGGCGGUACAGGAUGGACCCGCGGCCUAUCAGCUUGUUGGUGGGGUAAUGGCCUACCAAGGCGACGACGGGUAGCCGGCCUGAGAGGGUGACCGGCCACACUGGGACUGAGACACGGCCCAGACUCCUACGGGAGGCAGCAGUGGGGAAUAUUGCACAAUGGGCGAAAGCCUGAUGCAGCGACGCCGCGUGAGGGAUGACGGCCUUCGGGUUGUAAACCUCUUUCAGCAGGGACGAAGCGCAAGUGACGGUACCUGCAGAAGAAGCACCGGCUAACUACGUGCCAGCAGCCGCGGUAAUACGUAGGGUGCGAGCGUUGUCCGGAAUUAUUGGGCGU